AGGCAAAGAAGACCCCCAAUCAUGAUCAGUUGUGAUGAAGAAACAUACAUAGUGAGUCCACAACAUCUUAAAAUUGUUUCUGUAAAGUGCAGUGGUCCAGUGAAUGGGAAUGUUCUGCUGAUCCUCACUGUUCUUAGGAAGGAGAAAUGUCAGUUUGUCUGCAGUAAUACUGGAAUACUGUGACAUUAAAUUAAAACAAUACUCCUUGGUGAAUCAUUUUCACAUUUCCUCUAAAGUGUAUCUGUUGUUUUAUUGUGCUAAUUUUCUUAAGCAUGUUGUCCAUAAACUUUGAAUAUACUGACAAUUUGUGCAAUUCUGUGAUAGUAUAUUGUCAAUGUACUCUUGAAAAAUGUCAAUAUAUUGAAUACACAAUGUAAUUUGUUUCACCUGGAAAGUGUGUUGUAGUUGAUCCUUCUGUGUUCUUUUAGCCUAAUAUGUUUGCAGUACUGUAGUGUGUAUGAAGCAUGUAAUGUACAAAGUGGCAAAGCAGAAUAAUAAAAGACAUUAAGUAACUAAAAA